GCUGGGCAUGAUGGCUCAUGCCUGUAAUCCUAGCACUUUGGGAGGCUGAGGUGGGUGGACCACCUGAGGUCAGGAGUUCGAGAUCAGCCUGGCCAACAUGGUCUCUACUAAAAAUACAAAAAUUAGCUGGGCUUGGUGGCAGACGCCAGUAAUCCCAGCUACUAAGGAGGCUGAGGCAGGAGAAUUGCUUGAACCCAGGAGGUGGAAGUUGCAGUGAGCCGAGAUCAUGACACAGCACUCCAGCCUGGGCAACAGAGUGAGACUCUGUCUCA
rnacentral:sRNA from 1 species